AACACCCUUGCCUCUUCUAAUAGUUCCAGCAUUGCUUUCCAGGAGUGUGGCUCAUCUACAGCAUUGAGACAGAGCCCUAUGGCAGGAAGGCUGCAGAGUCCUGCCAUGUCAGAAGGAGAAGGGAGGUCACUGGGCAACCCUUACUCAUGGGGAGUGUGCGCUCAUUGCAGCAUCAGACCUGCCUCUUUCCUUCUCUUGACCUGCACAGACCAGGAGCAGUCCUUGAGUGCUGUACCUGGGAUGUUGCAGAUGGAGCCACAUGCCUGUAAAACAGUUCUAAUUGAAAAGAGGCUGCCACUGCUUCCCAAACAAUUGAAAACCGCACAAAACCAAACUUGGGGUUAGAACUCCCUCUUUGACUUUGGUUCAACACUGUCAGCUGGAAAACUUCCAUCCAGAGGCUGAUGUCGUCAUUACGAAUUGUCAGUUCCUAGUAUCACAGCUAAUGCUCUGGUGGUUUUGUUAGAAAGACAGUUGCUGUAGUGGCAGCAGCUAAUUGUUCUUUGGAUUUGUCUUUCAUUGUAGAAUUUUAUGAAUAAGUUUGUAAGUGAACUUGAACCCUAUUUGAGUCACUUGGGUUUGUCCCCUCUUGCUGCUAGCUUUAUUCCCAGGUUAAACCAUCUGUCUAACAAAAAGUACCUGUUUCCAGAAAUAGCUAAGGGGCACUAAGAAAAGCGUUUGACACUAAAAUAGAGCAGUAAAAGUACAGUAUUGGCAGCCUUAGGUUUCAGAAAUGCUUUCACUGUAUUAUCGUCAGCUUUUCCAAAAGCUGCAGUAGCCUCUGGUGACCUGUCUGCAAACACUUCCAUUUCAAAGAAUAAUAAGUGAGGUUAUCCUUUGUCAGUUCUCUUUCAACAUGCUCUUAGGAAAAUAGCAGAAUGUCUCAUCAGACAAAUGAAAAGCAAGGAGAAGUAUAAAGGAAUGUUACCAAUAGGCAACAAUGUAAUUGCUGAAUGGGGAUGAUACUGCUUAUAAUUCUGGUUUUCCUGCAGUUGUCUUCAAUCCCAGAAGCCUCAUUUUCAGCAGGAUCAAACCCCUGCACUAUUCAACAGUUUUCCCUUUAGUAUAGGAGGUAAUUUACCAUUUCAGUUGGCCUCGCAGUGACUGAAAUAUUUAGGGGAUUUGUGUAGUGACAGAAAUAGAUAAGAUGUUUGAGGCAAACGGCUUAGUUCUGUUUUGGAAAAUCUCCAUGGGAUUUAAGAGGAUGCACUGAUGUAAUACAAUUGGUGGGUUUAUUA